ACCCCUAUCGUCUAGUGGAUCAGGACAUCUCUCUUUCAAGGAGGCAAUGAGGAUUUGACUCCCCCUAGGGUUA
rnacentral:tRNA from 1 species